rnacentral:misc_RNA from 1 species
CCGCCACGCCCAGCCGAGAAUGGCGAAGUCGGCCACCGAGAUUUUAUCCGCGGCGAAUUCAUGGUCGGCAAGCCGCCGGUCCAGCACGCCAUAGAGCCUGCGCGUUUCCUUGGAAAAACGCUCCAGCCCGUAGCGGCGGUCCUGCUCGUUUUCGAGUGCGAUAAAGUGAUGCACCGAAGCCGCCCAUCUGCCACAUCAGCCAUUCCAGCACGGGAAUCCGCUCGCCCAGAUCCUUCGGCAGGAAUUGUCCGGUCUUCUCGCCGAGAUAGAGCAGGAUCGCCCCGGA